rnacentral:rRNA from 1 species
UGUGCUUGCACACCGUGUUUUUCUUGAGUCGCGAACGGGUGAGUAACGCGUAGGUAACCUGCCUAUUAGCGGGGGAUAACUAUUGGAAACGAUAGCUAAUACCGCAUAAUAUUAAUUAUUGCAUGAUAAUUGAUUGAAAAGAUGCAAGCGCAUCACUAGUAGAUGGACCUGCGUUGUAUUAGCUAGUUGGUAAGGUAAGAGCUUACCAAGGCGACGAUACAUAGCCGACCUGAGAGGGUGAUCGGCCACACUGGGACUGAGACACGGCCCAGACUUCUACGGGAGGCAGCAGUAGGGAAUCUUCGGCAAUGGACGAAAGUCUGACCGAGCAACGCCGCGUGAGUGAAGAAGGUUUUCGGAUCGUAAAGCUCUGUUGUAAGUCAAGAACGUGUGUGAGAGUGGAAAGUUACACAGUGACGGUAG